GCUGCCUGAUCCGGCACCACAUUCAUUACAGUGGACAGAUGUCUCUGAGGAGGAGCUGCUAGCUGAUAAGGCAGUACCUGGAAUGUGCUGCAGUGCAUGAAGUUUGUGGUCUCCAGAGCAGCAAGGAGAGCCAGGAGUGGCAUUCAUCAUCUUCAGAGCACUCAUCCUUAAUGGAGUGGUCCCAACCUUAGUGCUCAAACAUGAACGGUUGGACACAAACCUGCCUGGCUGACAAAGCACUAGACAUCCACCCACAUUUGUAGACCGGUGUUCAGAUUGCUGCACAUCCUACUGAAGAUGCCACAGAUGACAUGGUUACUUUUGAUUGCUGCUGUUCUCUUCUUGCUGGUGAUGUUCUCUUUUUAAGUUUAGAAGAGGACAUCUAGUUAGUUUGUUGUUAUGGUAGUCAUCUACUGGCAUUAAAAACCAGCAACCAACUG